rnacentral:rRNA from 1 species
AACGAACGCUGGCGGCGCGCCUAAUACAUGCAAGUCGAGCGAGAAGGUGUAGCAAUACACUUGUAAAGCGGCGAACGGGUGAGGAAUACAUGGGUAACCUACCCUCGAGUGGGGAAUAACUAGCCGAAAGGUUAGCUAAUACCGCAUACGAUUCCAGGACUUCGGUGCUGGAAGGAAAGCACUACCGUGGGUAGUGCGCUCCUGGAUGGGCUCAUGUCCUAUCAGCUUGUUGGNGAGGUAAUGGCUCACCAAGGCUUCGACGGGUAGCUGGUCUGAGAGGACGAUCAGCCACACUGGCACUGCGACACGGGCCAGACUCCUACGGGAGGCAGCAGUAAGGAAUAUUGCGCAAUGGGCGAAAGCCUGACGCAGCGACGCCGCGUGGGGGGA